rnacentral:rRNA from 1 species
AAUAAGCGGAGGAAAAGAAACUAACAAGGAUUCCCCUAGUAACUGCGAGUGAAGCGGGAAGAGCUCAAAUUUAAAAUCUGGUAGUCUUUGGCUGCCCGAGUUGUAAUCUAGAGAAGCGUUAUCCGCGCUGGACCGUGUAUAAGUCUCCUGGAAUGGAGCGUCAUAGAGGGUGAGAAUCCCGUCUUUGACACGGACUACCAGGGCUUUGUGAUGCGCUCUCAAAGAGUCGAGUUGUUUGGGAAUGCAGCUCUAAAUGGGUGGUAAAUUCCAUCUAAAGCUAAAUAUUGGCGAGAGACCGAUAGCGAACAAGUACCGUGAGGGAAAGAUGAAAAGAACUUUGGAAAGAGAGUUAAACAGUACGUGAAAUUGUUGAAAGGGAAACGCUUGAAGUCAGUCACGUUGGCUAGGAAUCAGCCUUGCUUUUGCUUGGUGUAUUUCCUGGUUUUAACGGGUCAGCAUCAAUUUUGACCGGUGGAAAAAGGUCGAGGGAAUGUGGCAUCUUAGGAUGUGUUAUAGCCCUUGGUCGUAUACAUCGGUUGGGAUUGAGGAACUCAGCACGCCGAAAGGUCGGGUUUUCUAACCACGUUCGUGCUUAGGAUGCUGGCAUAAUGGCUUUAAUCGACCCGUCUUGAAACACGGACCAAGGAGUCUAACAUGCCUGCGAGUGUUUGGGUGGAAAACCCGAGCGCGUAAUGAAAGUGAAAGUUGAGAUCCCUGUCGUGGGGAGCAUCGACGCCCGGACCAGACCUUUUGUGACGGAUCCGCGGUAGAGCAUGUAUGUUGGGACCCGAAAGAUGGUGAACUAUGCCUGAAUAGGGUGAAGCCAGAGGAAACUCUGGUGGAGGCUCGUAGCGAUUCUGACGUGCAAAUCGAUCGUCAAAUUUGGGUAUAGGGGCGAAAGACUAA